rnacentral:tRNA from 1 species
GUGCGGGAUGGAGCAGUCUGGUAGCUCGUCGGGCUCAUAACCCGAAGGUCGUUGGUUCGAAUCCAGCUCCGCUACC